CCGAGUUGCAAAACUCCCACAAACCAUCGCGAAUCUUACCCGUACGGUUGCCUCGGCGCUGGCGGUCCGGAAGGCCCUCGGGCCCCCGGAUCCUCGGGUCUCCCGCUCGCGGGAGGCUGCCCGCCGGAGUGCCGAAACUAAACUCUUGAUAUCUUAUGUCUCUCUGAGUACACUUUUAAAUAAGUCA
rnacentral:misc_RNA from 1 species